rnacentral:rRNA from 1 species
ACCCUAACAGCUAGCCCAACUUAAAAAACCAACAAACCCCAUUAAUAACCCAACACAAAACACCCUAACUAAAUCAAACCAUUUUUCCCCCUCAGUACGGGAGACGGAACAGGAUCUUGGCGCCAUAGAGAUAGUACCGCAAGGGAACGCUGAAAGAGAACUGAAAAAACCCAGUGAAGGCCUAAAAAGCAGAGACCACACCUCGUACCUUUUGCAUCAUGACCUAGCAAGUAUGCCCAAGCAAAGAGCCCUUUACGUUUGUACCCCCGAAACUGUACGAGCUACUCCGAGACAGCCUAUGUAGGGCGAACCCGUCUCUGUAGCAAAAGAGUGGGAAGAGCUCCGAGUAGAGGUGACAGACCUAUCGAGUACAGUUAUAGCUGGUUGCCUGAGAACCGAAUAGAAGUUCGACCUUUUAAUUUCUUACACCAAACAGGAGGCUACCUCCCACCCCGGCCCAAAGAACAUCAAAAGAGCUAUUCAAAAGAGGGACAGCUCUUUUGAACCAAGACACAACUUUUAUAGCAGGAUAAGGACUACACAUUACAAGGAGAACGCCUCCGUGGGCCUAAAAGCAGCCACCCUAAUAGAAAGCGUUAUAGCUCGAGCGUAUAAAACCUCUAAUCCCAGCCUCAACCUCCUAUUCCCCUAACCAUAUCAGGCUUUCCCAUGCUGCCAUGGGAGAAAAUCUGCUAACAUGAGUAACAAGAGGGGCCCGACCCCUUCUCCCUGCCCCCGUGUAAUCAGAACAGACCCUAACUGAAAAUUAACGCCCCCGCUCGAGGGCAGUGGAACAUGAUUUCAACAACUAGAAGCGCCUCCACAAACAAGCGUUAACCCCACACUGGAAAGCCCAAGGAAAGACAUAAAGGAAAAGAAGUAACUCGGCAAACACCAGCCUCGCCUGUUUACCAAAAACAUCGCCUCUUGCAAUACAAGUAUAAGAGGUCCCGCCUGCCCUGUGACACAAGUUUAACGGCCGCGGUAUUUUGACCGUGCGAAGGUAGCGCAAUCACUUGUCUUUUAAAUGAAGACCUGUAUGAAUGGCAUAACGAGGGCUGACCUGUCUCCUUUCCCCAGUCAGUGAAAUUGAUCUGCCCGUGCAGAAGCGGGCAUACAAAAAUAAGACGAGAAGACCCUAUGGAGCUUAAGGCCAUCAAAUAGAUUAAGUCAAAACCCCUAUGUGAUCAGGCAUGAACUAAAUAAUACCUACUUGACUGCCUUUGGUUGGGGCGACCACGGGGGAACACACAGCCCCCAAGAGGAACGGGCCCCACACCCUAAAACCAGAGCCACAGCUCGAACACCCAGAACUUCUGACCACUAAGAUCCGGCAACGCCGAUCAACGGACCCAGUUACCCUAGGGAUAACAGCGCAAUCCCCUUUUAGAGCCCAUAUCGACAAGGGGGUUUACGACCUCGAUGUUGGAUCAGGACAUCCUAUUGGUGCAGCCGCUAUUAAGGGUUCGUUUGUUCAACGAUUAAAGUCCU